rnacentral:snRNA from 1 species
AACUUUUCACAGUGGCAGUAUCGUUGCCAGUGAGAUUUGUCUGAGGUGCAAUUAUUGCUAACAGAAGAGACGGAGAUUUGUACAGGAUGUUUAUUGAGCACUUAUUCCAUGCUUUGUUCUCCACUGGGUGGGGAUACAGCAAUACAUAGGAGAGACCCAGGCCU